rnacentral:rRNA from 1 species
UACGUAGGGUGCGAGCGUUAAUCGGAAUUACUGGGCGUAAAGCGUGCGCAGGCGGUUUUGUAAGCCAGAUGUGAAAUCCCCCGGGCUUAACCUGGGAAUGGCAUUUGGGACUGCAAGGCUUGAGUGCGGCAGAGGAGACUGGAAUUCCUGGUGUAGCAGUGAAAUGCGUAGAUAUCAGGAGGAACACCGAUGGCGAAGGCAGGUCUCUGGGCUGACACUGACGCUCAUGCACGAAAGCGUGGGGAGCAACAGG